UGGGCAACCUGCCCCUCUCUCUGGGAUAACCCCCGGGAAACCGGAGCUAAUACCGGAUACUCCGGCUGGAUCGCAUGGUCCGGCCGGGAAAGGUCCGCCGGAGAGGGAUGGGCCCGCGGCCUAUCAGCUUGUUGGUGGGGUCAUGGCUCACCAAGGCGACGACGGGUAGCUGGUCUGAGAGGACGACCAGCCACACUGGAACUGAGAUACGGUCCAGACUCCUACGGGAGGCA
rnacentral:rRNA from 1 species